ACACGAGGCUCGAUCCCAGGACCCCGAGAUCAGGACCUGAGCUGAAGGCAGACGCUUCACCGACUGAGCCACCCAGGUGUGCUGAUUCCUUGUCAAAAUACUUUGAAUCAACUAACGAUUUAACCAAGUCUUUCAGGGUUCUAGUCCUAUGGUUUGGGAGGCCUGCCCACCUCACUCUUGGUGCCGCAUUUCCUCGUGUGUUCUGUGGUGUCCGCGUGGGUUCACAUCUAUUGGGAAUUACCGGUCCUGCAGCAGCGUUUCGUUGCCCGAGGUGGGAGCACUCCCUCCCGGAGGAGUUUUGCAUUUGCUUCCACCAGGACCAUGAGGGGCAUCCAUGGCCUGAGCUGAAUUUUAGUUUCGGGGGUCUCCUGCUUUGAGGGUAUUAUAAAAUCAAACUUGAUAUUUGCAUUGAGGUACGGGUUUUGGAGUCUCAGAGAUUUUCUGCCUACCACUUGGAGUCAAGGCAAAACCAGCUAAGCUCCCUUAUUGUCCCCGCCUGUGGGUGUGUUUCUUCCAGGAGCUAGCUUUCUGGGGGGACCUCUCGGCACCAGCUCCCCGUCACACAUGGCCCGAGGCCUUGCUGUCUUCUCUGUGUUGGCCGGUGUCCUCAAUGGCCUUGUAGGGCAAGACUCUGCAGGACACAUCUCCUGGGUUCCAGGAACUUUGCCAGGCCCCGGGAGAAAAUGGUGAGCAGAUAGACCUGUCCUCUGCCCUCAUGGCUUUGAUGUUCUAAAGGGAGCUGGGCAGGACCACCACCUCCCACUCCAAACUGGAUCACUCAGAAAGAUGCCCGGCAUGGCUGUGUUUUAAAGGGCACCUUGCCAGUGGAGAUGGGGGUCGGAGGGCAUGGCAUUCUGGCCCCUGGCAGGACUCUCAGCCGGCGUGUCCUGCAUCGACAGGUGUGGGAAGGCCACGGAAGCAGAGGGGUGGCACGAAUGAGGAGGAAGAAAUUGUGUCUUCUCAGCCAGUGACCUGCAGCCAUGCGAAGGAUCUGGAAUGUUCCAUAAGGGGCAGGGCAGAGAGAAGGAGUGUGCGCUCGUGUCUCUCCUUACAAGGGCAUCGGUCCCAUUUGUGAGGUUCCACCCUCAGGAUCUCGUCCGUCACCUCCCAAAGCCCCCCUCCCCCAACACCAUCACAUGGGGCAUUAGGAUUUCAACGCACAAAUUUGGGGGGGAGGCCAACACACAUUCAAGCUACAAGAGCUGGCAAACAAUCUGUGCAUGAAAACCCAUCAACUCAUCUAGAAAAAGAAAGGGGCAGCUGAAAAUGAUGAAGUGGAGAACUCUUUCUUGCUGAGUGUGGGAGAAGUGGGGGCUUUAAGUCUGUACUAGUGAGGGCUCAGCUCGUCUAGCCGUGAUGGGGAGAGCCGGAACAUUCUUGGGGUUGAUCAUAGGACAGACGGAAUCGCUGGAUGUUUUCCCCAGGGAAAGAUGGGACCCCAGGCAGCUCUGCCUUGGGACAUACAUCUCCCCAGGCGAUCCUAAGGCCUCCCUCCAGGGCACUGCUGGCCACUGUGGGGUGCAUUCGUGGUCAUCACUUUUGGGAGCAAGAAUCUGAUUGACUCACCCUGAGCAGCACACCCCUGCACUUUGUGGUUGGCAGUCAGCCUCUAAUUUGUGACCGGUGGGGGACUCGAGCGGCUCUGACUGACAGUCCCUGACCCACCGAUCAAUGUUCUCAUCACGGAAGCAGGGGCAGAGCGCCCCAUGUGGAGCAACAGAAGGACUCACCCCACAGCAUGCGGGGGCCGUCCCAAGGAAGGAAACACAUUAAAUGACACCCGGGGAUCUAGUUCUUUAACUGGAAAUAUAGAAGUAUGGCCAAACAUGGGGGGGGGGGGAAGCCUAAAAUAGUAUAAAAAUGGCAUUUUAAGUGAGUAGGAAAAUUAUUUCAUAAUUGGUCUUGGGAUGGUCGUGUGCCAUCUGGAGAAAACCUUGGGAUUCCCACCUCACUCUGCAUUCCAAGAUGAAUUCCAGAAAGAGCAAUACAAAUGAUAAAAACAAAACAAAAACGAAGCCAUAACAGCGUUAGAAAUAAAAAUGGGAGAUUUUUGCAAUCCCAGCAUGGGAAAAGCUUUUCCAAGCAUGUCAUAAAACCCAGA